UGAGGAAUAUUGGUCAAUGGACGAGAGUCUGAACCAGCCAAGUAGCGUGCAGGAUGACGGCCCUAUGGGUUGUAAACUGCUUUUGUUUGGGAAUAAUCGACAUUACGUGUAAUGUUUUGCAUGUACCAUUCGAAUAAGGACCGGCUAAUUCCGUGCCAGCAGCCGCGGUAAUACGGAAGGUCCAGGCGUUAUCCGGAUUUAUUGGGUUUAAAGGGAGCGUAGGCGGUUGGUUAAGCGUGUUGUGAAAUGUAGAUGCUCAACAUCUGACUUGCAGCGCGAACUGGCUGACUUGAGUACACACAACGUAGGCGGAAUUCAUGGUGUAGCGGUGAAAUGCUUAGAUAUCAUGAAGAACUCCGAUUGCGAAGGCAGCUUACGGGAGCGCAACUGACGCUGAAGCUCGAAGGUGCGGGUAUCGAACAGG
rnacentral:rRNA from 1 species